CUGCUGGAUGCACUAGGUGCAUCACAGCACAGAUCUGCAAUAAUCUUUAAGAUGAAAAUUAGAAUAUACAGUACAACUUACUUAUAAGUUAUAUUUCUUUCUCUCUUCUACGAACAUGAAAUAUUUCAAACAUAGAUAUAACAGCUGUGAGAGUGAGUAAGGUAAAAGUUUCUAUUAUGAGACGAUGUCCCCAUUUAUGAUACACUACAUAAAAAUACUAUUUUAUGAAAACAAACACACCGCUAGCAUACCAAAAAUAUAAUAAAUAUUUCAAUUCACAUAUUUCAAAAGCAAUUUUCGACUUUUGCUCUUAAUUAAUUCCAUACUGUUUUUAAAAAAUAUUUAUUAAAGUGCGAGGUUUGUUAUCUGUGCUCAAAGCCACGACCGAGAAUAGUAAAACGGUAACGGCUACCUAGUUUCUUAUAUUAGUUUAAUUUCAUUGUCUCUUCUACUUUUAUGUUAAAUUGUAUAUCAAUUGAAAGCUGAUGAGUCAUAGACUUUAUUUCUAUACAUAUUUAUGCAUUUUUUUUAUUACAAUAUUUUAAAUCUGAGUGCCCCGGUUUAUGAGACACUUUACUAGGUGUACCAUGUAACACGGACAUGUGUAUUUCGGCUUGUCCCGAUUAAGUGAGAAGUGUACAUUUAUAAGAUUUUAUAUUGUUAAUAUGUUAUAUUAAUUAUAAAAAUAGUGCAAUUAUAUGUCAUAAAAUAUUGGCUGUUAUUAAAACCUCAAAUAUUUUUCUAAAAACUAAGUAAAAAGUAAUUUAUAAUAAAAAGCUGAGAUAAUGAGGCAUAAACAAAAUCCUAAAGAGACAAAGACUCAAUCAUCAAAUUCAACCAAAAAAAAGUGUUGUGUUCCAAUGUGAAUAAUAAACUGAAGAAAAAAAAGUUAAAAAGCUUAAGUAAUUAUGAUUCGUCAAAUAUAGAAAAAGCUUUAAAAGCAAUAGAAGACACAGAGCUGUCCUUGAGAAAAGCAGCUGCUGUUUAUGGAGUACCGAUUGCUACCUUUGUUAGAUGAAAAAGUAUUAGUCCUGAGAAGGCAAAAAUUAGAACUGAGCCAGCGACAGUAUUAUCUUUAAAAGAAGAGGAUGUUAUUGUUCAGUUGUUAUUCUACAGAGCAGCAAUAGGGUCACCUGUGACGAAAACUGACUUAUUAAAGAUGUAUUACAAUUUUUUAUUAUCUUAGACAAAAUCAUUCUAAUGUAAUAAACUGUGAAUAAAAUAAUUUAACUAAUGAUGGACAACUUUUUACGGUUAUAUAUGAAUCUAGUCAAGUUAGUCUUCAAGAAUCAUUAACUGAUAGCAAUAAUGUAAUACGGUGCCCUUCUAAAGACUUUAGUGAACACAGCCUAAUUGAUCAAACUAUCUCUACUGAUGAUACAAACUUAGAUAUGUCUGUACAGCUCAGAUAGAUUACAACAGAGCUCACAAAUAUUCAUCCUACAAAUCCUAUAAACAACAAAAUUUAUCAAUUAGAAUUUAUGGAAGAAAAUUUGGAUCCUACGCCUGCAAUGAUUGACGAACAUCGUUUUAUUCAUAAGUUUUCAUCAAUAACUGUUGAUAACGAUAAAUCUCCCGAAAAACCUCUGAAAGAAAUAUUCAAUUUGCCGUUGGAUUAUUUACUGAAGAAAAAAAUAAUAAAAAUUGAAAAAACAGGCAAGUCAAAGUUACCAUCUGUGGGGAUCUCUGAUUAAUGGUACAAACAAUUAAAAACA